CAGCAGCCACGGGAAUACGUAGGGUGCAAGCGUUAAUCGGAAUUACUGGGCGUAAAGCGUGCGCAGGCGGUCCGCUAAGACAGAUGUGAAAUCCCCGGGCUUAACCUGGGAACUGCAUUUGUGACUGGCGGGCUAGAGUAUGGCAGAGGGGGGUAGAAUUCCACGUGUAGCAGUGAAAUGCGUAGAGAUGUGGAGGAAUACCGAUGGCGAAGGCAGCCCCCUGGGCCAAUACUGACGCUCAUGCACGAAAGCGUGGGGAGCAAACAGGAUUAGAGACCCCUGUAGUCCCUGUCUCUUAUAC
rnacentral:rRNA from 1 species